rnacentral:rRNA from 1 species
CGGACGGGUGAGUAACGCGUGGAAAACCUGCCGUAUACUGGGGGAUAACACUUAGAAAUAGGUGCUAAUACCGCAUAAGCGCACAGCUUCGCAUGAAGCGGUGUGAAAAACUCUGGUGGUAUACGAUGGUUCCGCGUCUGAUUAGCUAGUUGGUGGGGUAAUGGCCUACCAAGGCAACGAUCAGUAGCCGGCCUGAGAGGGUGAACGGCCACAUUGGGACUGAGACACUGCCCAAACUCCUACGGGAGGCAGCAG